CAAUAGCGUAUAUUAAAGUUGUUGCAGUUAAAAAGCUCGUAGUCGCAUUUCUGGCGAGAGGAAUUGGUCCGACAUUUAUUGUGGGUACUCGAUUCUCUCUCGCCAUCCUUGAGUGGUCCGUUCUGGCAUUUAGUUGUCGGAGCGUCAGCCGCUCAUCGUUUACUGUGAGAAAAUUAGAGUGUUCAAAGCAGGCUUAUGCCGUUGAAUAUAUUAGCAUGGAAUAAUAAGAUAGGACCUCGGUGCUAUUUUGUUGGUUUGCGCACAGAGGUAAUGAUGAACAGGGACAGUUGGGGGUAUUUGUAUUUCGUUGUCAGAGGUGAAAUUCUUAGAUUUACGAAAUGACAAAACUAACUGCGAAAGCAAUUUACCAAGGAUGUUUUCAUUGAUUCAAGAACGAAAGAUAUGGGGGAUCGAAGACGAUUAGAU
rnacentral:rRNA from 1 species